AUACUGCAGAAUAAUUGGGAGAAAGAUCAGAUGAAUUUACACCGUUAGAUCAAAUAUAUUGGUAGUAUAUACUUCAAGUAGAAUGUAUCUUAAAAGUCCUCUAACGGCUUGUUUGGUUGGAGGGAGUUUUGAAUAAGGAAAUGGGAGUUUAGGAGAUUGAGCUUUUUAAUCUCUAGUUUGAUUAGAGGACUUGGGAAUUUUAGAGGGACUGGCAUAGAGAAUUAAUCUAUCCAACUCCCACCGAUCCCAUCCCUGGGGACCUGUUAAUUCACGAGACUUGGUGGGAAUUAAACAGCAGAAGUCCGAAAUACCCCUCUCCCGCACACUCCGCCGUCCAUUGCCGCGAAAAGGAAUAAAAACGCGCGAAAAAUCCUGUUCACUGCCGCGAGGAGGAGUAAAAACGCGCGAAAAAUCCCCAUCUCAGCGCCACUUUCCUCGCCCACUCCGUUGGCCACCACGAGAAGCAAUAAAUCCUGUGAAAUAUCACCAGCGAUUCUCCCCAUUCACACGCGAAACCACAGCCAAGGUUAGGUUCUGACGCAAGUUUGUUGUGUUCUUGAAAACUCUCCCUCUUUCUCCCUCUCUCCUGUACAGAUCGAGACCACAGCCUCAUGAGAUCGAUGGAAGCAGCUUUGUAAGGGGAAAAGGUGGGGGGGGGGGGGGAAAAGGUGGUUCUGAUCUGCUGUUCGUACUUCUACGUCUGUUGUUGCUCAAGGCUGAUUUUUUUGUAGUUUUGCUCUGCAGUUUAUCACACCAAAAGCUGUAGGUACUGAUGUUAUUCUGUUCUCUAUUUUUUUUUCAUCAGUCGAUUGCCUUGUUUGAUUUUCCAAGACAGAUCAAUCAGAUUUGGUAUUUUAGUAUUAAUGGUAGUAGGCAUUUUCCCAGUGUAUAGAGUAGACCUGUUCUUAAUUUUUUUUUCAUCAGUCGAUUGCCUUUAUAGAUUUUCCAAUAUAGAUCAAUUCGAUUUCAUAUUUUAGUAUUAAUGGUAGUAGGCAUUUAAUCUGCUAUAGAAUGACACAUAGUGUAUUCGUCAAUUUCAUACGUGAUACAUACAGAAUGGAGGGGGAUAUGAUCAGUAUCAAAAUUCAUCAUGGGGGAUCUUUUUCAAAGGAGGGUCAACUUUGCUAUGUUGGAGGCCAAGUCUCUAUUUUUCGCAAUUGUGACAGCGAAAGGAUGUCAUACUUUUGUCUAGUAGACAUGGCUAAAGAUGUAGGUUUCAAGGGUGGAGAUGAACUAUUCUAUGCUAUCCCUGGUUAUAGUCUUGAAAAUGGAAUCGACAAACUUCAUGAUGAUCAUUCAGUUCGUAAAAUGUUGAAUUUUGCAAAGAAAGGCAAGUCAAUGGAAAUUUAUAUUAAGCAUCUUGAAUAAGGUGUAAGUGCUACUCCAAUAUUUGGACAGGAUGUUGAAGAUAAUCAUGUGGAGGAGGUACUGUACUUAGAAACAACUUUUCUUUUCCUUC